rnacentral:rRNA from 1 species
UACGUAGGGUGCGAGCGUUGUCCGGAAUUAUUGGGCGCAAAGAGCUUGUAGGCGGUUUGUCGCGUCUGCUGUGAAAAUCCGGGGCUCAACCCCGGACUUGCAGUGGGUACGGGCAGACUGGAGUGUGGUAGGGGAGACUGGAAUUCCUGGUGUAGCGGUGGAAUGCGCAGAUAUCAGGAGGAACACCGAUGGCGAAGGCAGGUCUCUGGGCCACUACUGACGCUGAGAAGCGAAAGCAUGGGGAGCGAACAGG